rnacentral:pre_miRNA from 1 species
CUAAUGUCCACGGGCUGGCGGGCCCCAGGCUGGGCUGGGCGAGUACCUCCUCAGAAGGCUCACCCUCAAACACAACUAGGAGG